GCCUGGGUGGCUCAGUCGGUUGAGCCUCCGGCUUCGGCUCAGGUCAUGAUCUCGCAAUUCAUGGGUUCAAGCCCCACCUCGGGCU
rfam:Felis catus isolate Cinnamon breed Abyssinian chromosome B2, whole genome shotgun sequence.